rnacentral:rRNA from 1 species
UUGAACGCUGGCGGCAUGCUUUACACAUGCAAGUCGAACGGUAACAGGCCGCAAGGUGCUGACGAGUGGCGAACGGGUGAGUAAUGCAUCGGAACGUGCCCAGUCGUGGGGGAUAACUACUCGAAAGAGUAGCUAAUACCGCAUACGAUCUAUGGAUGAAAGCGGGGGACCGUAAGGCCUCGCGCGAUUGGAGCGGCCGAUGUCAGAUUAGGUAGUUGGUGGGGUAAAGGCUCACCAAGCCAACGAUCUGUAGCUGGUCUGAGAGGACGACCAGCCACACUGGGACUGAGACACGCCCAGACUCCUACGGGAGGCAGCAGUGGGGAAUUUUGGACAAUGGGCGCAAGCCUGAUCCAGCAAUGCCGCGUGCAGGAAGAAGGCCUUCGGGUUGUAAACUGCUUUUGUACGGAACGAAACGGCUCUGGUUAAUACCCGGGGCUAAUGACGGUACCGUAAGAAUAAGCACCGGCUAACUACGUG